rnacentral:lncRNA from 1 species
UUUAAUAUGUUUAUAUUGAUUGUUGGUUAUUCUUCGUUGGGGUUGUUGUGGUUGAAUUCUUAGUAGAAUCAGGUUAUUGAAUCGAAGAACAGUGUGUGUGUUUAUUGUUUAUUAGAAGAGAGUGAGGGGGGAAACAAAGUAGAAGAUUUGAUAGGUUACUAGUUAGUGUUUCACGAUUCCAAUAAAAAGAUUUUCGACAGAGUGUGUAAAGAGUAGUUUUGACUUUGUAAACAAAAGUCAACCAUUCAUGUGAUAGAAGCAGAGUUCGACUGUAUUUCUAUUGUGUCAAUGUUGAAAAUUUUGAAUCUAUAUGAUCAUUAUAGGUGUUUGUUGCAAGGGUAAAGGGAAAUUGAUAUAUUGAUCUCUAAUAUGGACCAAAAUAUUGCAAAUCUACACAAGUAUACUCAUUUUGGUUAGUUUAAUUCUGAUAAUUUGUUGGACAUUGACAUUCAUCACAUGUUCUGCAGAUUGCCAAAUUGUGUCUAAUAGUUAAAAGAGAGUGAAAGAGAGGAACAGAGAAAGAGAUGGAGAGUCGGUAGAUUACGGCCAAGUUUUCGGUCGUUGAUGCCACUUCCGACACGUGGAUCGGCUCAACCUUGGUACAAGAGGAUGGGGAUUUUUACCGUCCAAAACUAAAGCACAAAGGCUGGAAUUUAUAUGAUUAAAGACCCAUUUUAAUCAAUAGCGGUCCCUAAUCUUGAUAAAGAGAUAAUUAAGAAGCAGGUCAAAAUAUUCAAGAGGCCCUAAAGUGGAAAAGAUGCAACAAGGAAAAAUGGUAUAAGCUAAAGGUAUUGAUUCUGGUGUUAGGAAAAAUUUAAAGGGUGUCUCUCUUAUGCCUAAUAUUGGUUACGAGUCAGACAAAAAGACCCACCAUUUUCUUCCAACUGGUACUAAGAAGUUUGUGGAAUUGUGGUGCAUAAUGCCAAAGAGUUGGAACUUUUCAUGAUGCACAACAGGUUGGCGAGAAAAAGAUGAUUACACGAAUGCGGAUGUUGAUGGAAUACGCGAACAAGGGUUGAGUUUUGAGAUGAUUUUUAUUUUUAGGUGACAAACAAUUUCUUCAAACGUUAUUUUUGUUAACGUUAAGAUAUUUGUAGUAUACUUAUAAAUGAUUAUGCAAUGGGUUGUUUUGAUAUAUAUAUUUAUUUUGUUAUG